rnacentral:rRNA from 1 species
GAUGAACGCUGGCGGCGUGCUUAACACAUGCAAGUCGAACGGGAAUUAUUUUAUUGAAACUUCGGUCGAUUUAAUUUAAUUCUAGUGGCGGACGGGUGAGUAACGCGUGGGUAACCUGCCUUAUACAGGGGGAUAACAGUCAGAAAUGGCUGCUAAUACCGCAUAAGCGCACCGAGCUGCAUGGCUCAGUGUGAAAAACUCCGGUGGUAUAAGAUGGACCCGCGUUGGAUUAGCUUGUUGGCAGGGUAACGGCCUACCAAGGCGACGAUCCAUAGCCGGCCUGAGAGGGUGAACGGCCACAUUGGGACUGAGACACGGCCCAGACUCCUACGGGAGGCAGCAGUGGGGAAUAUUGCACAAUGGGGGAAACCCUGAUGCAGCGACGCCGCGUGAAGGAAGAAGUAUCUCGGUAUGUAAAAUUCUAUCAGCAGGGAAGAUAGUGACGGUACCUGACUAAGAAGCCCCGGCUAACUACGUG